rnacentral:lncRNA from 1 species
GUGCGCAGCGGCGUAUGUGGGGCCGUGUGCAGACCCGCGUGUGGCGCAGGCAAGGACCCUCAAAAUAAACAGCCUCUACCUUGCGAGCCGUCUUCCCCAGGCCUGCGUCCGAGUCUCCGCCGCUGCGGGCCCGCUCCGACGCGGAAGAUCUGACUGCAGCCAUGAGCAGCAAUGAGUGCUUCAAGUGUGGACGAUCUGGCCACUGGGCCCGGGAAUGUCCUACUGGUGGAGGCCGUGGUCGUGGAAUGAGAAGCCGUGGCAGAGGUGGUUUCCAGUUUGUUUCCUCGUCUCUUCCAGACAUUUGUUAUCGCUGUGGUGAGUCUGGUCAUCUUGCCAAGGAUUGUGAUCUUCAGGAGGAUGUCUUGGCCUGUUUCUUUUCCUUAUUGUUGAAGCCUGCUAUAACUGCGGUAGAGGUGGCCACAUUGCCAAGGACUGCAAGGAGCCCAAGAGAGAGCGAGAGCAAUGCUGCUACAACUGUGGCAAACCAGGCCAUCUGGCUCGU